CUGAUAAAAAAAAAAAUCACAUAAAUGUUCACGUAAAGGAGACAGGAGUGAACUCUGCGCAUGUACAAGAGGAACGGAGGCGGGAAGCCGUAGCCGAGCCCAUUUCGAACUUUGUUUGAAACACACAGUCAGUUGAAGCCGUUGAAGCGUGAAGAUGGAACCUGCUACUGAGCACAUCAACUCUUAAGUGUGUCCCUGGAAGAUCUACCAUCAACUUCCAGAACUGCAACUGCUAGUACUGUCAGAUGGUGAAUGCUACUCAGGCAAACACCAUUGUUACACCACUUUGAAGGAGAGCCUGGUCAUUUGGUCCCCUCAGCUUCUCCCUUUCUCAGUGAUAUGUUCAUUGUGGCUGGGAGAAUUGUGGGGCACUCUUUCCUUCAUGGAGGACCCUGCUUGUCUGGACUCUGUGAUGUGGUUGUCCAUACUGCUUCGUGGGAGCCCAGACACGGCUACAGUAAACCUGGAGGACUGUGCAGACCUGGACAUUAGAGAAACAAUCAGGCUUCUGGAGGUGGAAUCAAACCUAUCAGCUGAAGAAAUGGGAAGGGUACAGAACGUGGCCUCUUCCUGGGACCUCCCUCCGCUAACCACAACCAACAGGGCCCUUAAUGCUCUGCGGUGAAAAAUGGAGCAACAAGGCUGACCGUGACAUCGGGAGAGCUGAGGCAGAUCAUCUUAAACAUGAUGCACCUGGACGGUCCGGUGGCGGAGACUUCAAGAAUUAAAUAAAAUUACAAUGAAAUGGAUAA